CUGGGUAACAAAGCAGCGAAGCAUUUACUACUCAGUGGUAGUUCUGCAACAAUCAGCAGCAGUGUGACUAUCACAGUAAAUUUACAUCGGUACACUUCAUCCUCAGGGAGUUGAACAUAGAAAACAACUGGAACAGACAUUUUCCAGAUCUUUUGGAUGACACAACUGGAAAAGUUUACUGUUCAUUAAAAAAAUAAAUGCUCAGACUGGAAAGUUUUUGGAAAGUUGAAAUUUGCAAAACAUGCAGCAUUGGCAGACCCACUGCAGUUCUGGUGCAGAUGCCAAAGGCUCUGGGCCCUUCACUCUGGGCCCUUCACUUAGAAGGAACCUCCUCUCUCAGGUACUUGCUUUAUAAUGCUUGUGUUCCUGUGACUGUGAUGAGAAAAUACCAAGGUUUGCCUGAGUGAAGCAAUAAUAACACUUCUCUAGCAAGAUAUUUUUCUUCAGUAGGCAAGAAAACAUUUUAUAAAGGAAGCAAGUAUCAUCUCCUUUUAAAAAACGGGGAAACUUGAAGCAAAAAGAGGUUCCAGAAAUUGGGCACAGUCCUUCAGCAAGACCGUGACAGAGUAAAAAUACAUCUGAGGUUCCCUGUCUGCUUAAUGUUUUGACCACUGCAGUCAAUGCAGCCCUCUCUCUCUAAAAUGCAUCUGGAAGCCUCAGGCUGCAGUACAGCCUGCGGUUAGAAUAAGGACUGACAAAGUACAUUCUUCUCCUGUAAGAUAUGAAAGAUGAGGCAAAGGAAUCUGCAGCAGGCAAGAUGAGCUUCAGACUAGAAAACAGCAAGAAAGUGCAAAGCAGGAUUUUCAUAAGUACUCCAUCGCCAAGGAUGCCACUGUGAUUGUGAGAAAAGAAGAAGGCAGUGAACCGAAGAGGUGUAACCCUGCUUUGGUGACAGGGAAUCCGUAGGUAAUGACCAUUAAACCUAAACUGCAUUUUUAAUCCUGACUUGGUCAUACAGUAGAGAGACAGUAAAUAUAAAUGUAGGCACCUCAGUGCAAUUCUUGGGGCAAGCAGAUCUCUGUGGCUGUACAUUUGGUUUUACAGCACCAGAGUGCCUGACAGGUUGUCUGCAAGAAGGCUUCAUCUGAGAGGCAAGUCAAGUUUUCUGAAGACACUUUGUGCUUGCCUGCCUGCCACAGUACUGAAACAGCAUAAGGACAUCGUGAAGAGCCUCAGUAAAGCCAACAUUGACAAGCAAGCAGAGAAGACUGAGGGGGGGUAAAAAAAACAAAAAAACAAUUUGUGUUAAAGUUGUGGAUACAGAGCUGCUGACAUGUCUUGUCAAUGAUAAGAAUGUAACCCUACCCUUUAGUUGUUAAUAAUUAAAAAGCAGCUUGAUGUCAUUGGAAUUGGAAUUGUUUUGGAUUCAGCAAAAAAGAAAUUAAGAUUUGCAAAACUUUCAGAGUAGGAAUGUGAUAAAUAAUGGGGGGAAUAAUUAUAAAAAGAAGAAAUGGAAAGGCUGAAAAUUGUCAGAAAAUCCCAGAAGAGCAGUUCCAGUCAGUGCUGCAGUGGGCACGCAUCUGCUCGUUGCCAUCAGUAAACAUGAGCAACAACACCCAGCCUGCAUCCAACCUUAAAGCCUGUGGACACUCAGAUAAUGUGAAGAGGACCAUGUACUUAAAAGGAGCCUGAAAUAACCUAUAGAAAUGGCAGAGAUAAAUCUUACAUGGUAAAAACACCUGGCCUCUUCGGUCACUCUGGUCCAGAAAAUCAAAAUUACAUUCCAGUCCUAGAAGGAACUCUAAGUUUAAAACAGUGAAAUGGAAGGGGAAAAAUAAAUAAAUAAUUAAAUAAAAUCGAAAAGAUAAAUGAAAACGUCACACUUCCUUCUAAGAGAAGAUGAAGGAGCACUAAACUAAUAGCAAACCAGCUUACUAUGAGGCAGAAUAAUAUUCUCAGCAGCUUCAGGGUUCACAUAACUGACCUAAAGCUAAAAGACAGGUCUCUUGGGAAGAAUGAUAGAAAUAUCUGAAUAAUUUCAGUAGUGAUAUCAGAAGGAAAUUGAGAAUAAUGAAGGAUUUAUUAUGUCAAGAUUCAGAAUACAUGGUCUCAUAAAGAAGAGAGGAGCAACUAUGGAAGGAAGAUAUGGUAUUCGUGUAAGUCUCGGUGCAGAUGUAUGUAGUACAAAGAAUAUGUAUGGCUUUAUAUCUGAUAAAGCAUUUACCUGUGCUGUUACCUCAAUCCUCUUUCCUGUAUUACGGUAUGCCUAAGGCAAUCAGAGUGAGCUGAGGCAUAAUGUGGAGUUACACAAUGCAAAUAAAGGUGAUGAUGUAGCACAGAGCAUCUAUUAGAAGUGACAGUGUGUAUGAUUGAAAGAAUGAAUAUCUUCAACUUAAAGGAAAAAAAUAUUUCUGUAAACUUUGUGCAACUGAAAGAGAAAUCGUUGAUUCAAUCAGAACGACGCUAUAUCAGAUCACUUUUAUAAGCUCUUUCCAGAGCAAAAUCACAAUGGAAACAAUUGUGGAUAACGUGCUGCAAAAUACAUUCCAGGGAAUAAUCCCAUGCUGGCAGAGAUUGAACAAGACAGUUUAAUAAGACUUCCAUCCCUAAUUUCUCUCUGCCUAUGAUCCUUUAAGA